GGGGAUAUAGCUCAGUUGGUAGAGUGCUUGCUUCACAGGCACAAGGCCCUGGGUUCAAUUCCCAGCACCA
rnacentral:tRNA from 1 species